rnacentral:rRNA from 1 species
AUGGCUUGUGUUAAGUCUGUCAAAUACUCUGUCAAGUUCAAUGGGAAGUUGCUUGAGACGUUUACCCCAUCUCGUGGGCUUAGGCAAGGUGACCCCCUGUCCCCCUUCCUGUUCCUUUUUGUUGCUGAUGCUUUGUCCUCUCUAAUAUCAAAAUCAGUUAAUGAGGGAGAGUUGAAGGGGGUUUCGAUUUGCCGCGGAGCACCAGUCAUAUCUCAUCUACUGUUCGCGGAUGAUACUAUGUUACUAUUUGAAGCGACGAGCCACCAAGCGAGCAUUGUCAAAGGUUUGUUGAGCACAUAUUCCAGAGCGACAGGUCAACUUAUCAACCCCGAAAAGUGUUCCAUCCUUUUUUCAGACAAUUGCAUUGAGUCGGUGGCAGUGGAGAUGAAGAAUAUUUUGAAGGUUACGCAACAAGUGUUUGAGCCUAAGUACCUAGGCUUACCUGUACCGGAAGGAAGGGUACAUAAAGGGCAAUUUGAGACCGUGCAGGACAGGCUGAGGAAAAGACUUGUUGAUUGGAGUGAACAAUAUGUGUCGUCAGGCAACAAGGAAAUUUUAAUAAAGGCGGUGGCGCAAGCAAUACCUACUUAUGUGGUGAGUGUCUUCCGCCUGCCGGCGUCCGUGUGUGAUGAUUUAACACGGAUGAUGAGAAAGUACUGGUGGGGAGUGGAGAAUGGUAAAAGAAAGAUGGCUUGGCUCAGCUGGGAGAAGAUGACUCUACCCAAGGACAUGGGGGGUAUGGGGUUUCGAGAUAUGCGGGCAUUCAACCAGGCAUUGCUUGCAAAGCAGGCUUGGAGGUUACUAGACAGCCUGGAUAGUCUUUGUGCUCGCCUUCUACGGGCUAAAUAUUACCCGAACGACAAUCUUUUGGACACGGUAUUCCCGUCUAGCUCUUCUGCAGUCUGGAAGGGAAUUGCAUAUGGCCUUGAAUUGUUG